AAUAGUCCUGUAUGUUAAACGAGAAGACUUUAGAUAUGAUCCAGAGUACCACGGGACACGUGAAACCCUGUGGGAAGCAGGAGGGACCCCCCUCCAAGGCUAAAUACUACCUAGUGACCGAUAGCGUAUAGUACCGUGAGGGAAAGGUGAAAAGACCCCCGGGAGGGGAGUGAAAUAGAACCUGAAACCCUGCACUUACAAGCUGUGGAAGCACAUUUCUUGUGU
rnacentral:rRNA from 1 species